rnacentral:lncRNA from 1 species
AUUGUUCCUCUUCACUCAAUCCAUCUUCUACUAGCCACGUCUACAAUUUAUCGCCUCAAAAUCAAUCAAUCAAGAACUUCCUAAUGUUUGAAUUAUCAAGAUUAUAUGUUAUACCUUUGAAACACCGGUGCUUCCCGACAAGAUCAAGUUAGUUGCAUCCUCAGGGGUAAACUUUUCUUUAAGUCUCUCGUACUCCUCUUCAUCUAACAUGACAACCUGUAUAUGUAAACAGAACUUUGCGAUGAAUGGAUGAAACUAAAUGAAAACCAAAAUCAAGGAGCUAAUUAAGAGAUUAAUAUUGAGUUCAAUUUCUAAGCGCUGACGACGUAUACCUGAAUUCCUCGUUGGCACAAGGCGAGAGCAAUGGAGUAAG